rnacentral:rRNA from 2 species
AACUUCUCAAGUUUGGCC